AUUCUUAUUAUUAUGUUUAUUAUUUUAUUUUUUGGAACUAUAGGUUGUUGGAAAGGUUCUCCCAGAACUGAAUGGAAAACUUACUGGAAUGGCCUUUCGUGUUCCAACUCCUAAUGUCUCGGUGGUGGACCUAACUUGUCGACUUGAGAAGAGUGCUUCCUAUGAAGAUGUCAAGGCGGCCAUAAAGUAUGCAUCAGAGGGACCACUUAAAGGCAUUCUUGGGUAUACUUAAUUUUGAAGGCUUUGUGUUGGGCAGCUGUAGAAUAUUUUGUGUUGAAAGUAGUAACUUUUCACUAUGUUGAAUAUUUAAGACUCCUUGAAUACUUAAAGAACAUUUUGUUAUUGAUGACAGUGUUGAAUAUUUUAAACUAAUUUGUGGAUUGUUAAUACAAUGUUGAAUGUUUUUACUUUUUGUUAUUUGAAAA